rnacentral:rRNA from 1 species
CUCAGGAUGAACGCUAGCUACAGGCUUAACACAUGCAAGUCGAGGGCAGCGGAAGAGCUGCUUCUUGCCGGCGACCGGCGCACGGGUGAGUAACGCGUAUCCAACCUGCCCGCGGCUCAGGGAUAGCCUCGUGAAAACGAGAUUAAUACCUGAUGGCCUUGAAGAUUGACAUCGAUUUCAAGUAAAGAUUUAUCGGCAGCGGAUGGGGAUGCGUCAUUAGGUGUGGCGGGUAACGCCCACCAAGCCGACGAUGGAUAGGGGUUCUGAGAGGAAGGUCCCCCACAUUGGAACUGAGGCACGGUCCAAACUCCUACGGGAGGCAGCAGUGAGGAAUAUUGGUCAAUGGGCGAGAGCCUGAACCAGCCAAGUAGCGUGAGGGGAAUGACUGCCCUAUGGGUUGUAAACCUCUUUUAUACGGGAAUAAAAUGCGCCACGUGUGGCGUUUUGCAUGUACCGUAAGAAUAAGCAUCGGCUAAUUCCGUGCCAGCAGCUGC